AUUGAACGCUGGCGGCAGGCCUAACACAUGCAAGUCGAACGAGUGGCGGACGGGUGAGUAAUGUCUGGGACACUGCCUGAUGGCGGGGGAUAACUACUGGAAACGGUAGCUUAUACCGCAUACCAUCGGAUGUGCCCAGAUGGGAUUCGCUAGUAGGUGGGGUAAAGGCUCACCAAGGCGACGAUCCCUAGCUGGUCGGAGAGGAUGACCAGCCACACUGGAACUGAGACACGGUCCAGACUCAUACGGGAGGCAGCAGUGGGGAAUAUUGCACAAUGGGCGCAAGCCUGAGGCAGCCAUGCCGCGUGUAUGAAGAAGGCCUUCGGGUUGUAAAGUACGUUCAGCGGGGAGGCGUUACCCGCAGAAGAAGCACCGGCUAACUCCGUGCCAGCAGCCGCGGUAAUGC
rnacentral:rRNA from 1 species